CGUGAACUCACAAGAGGGCUGAGGCGGCCCGGCUCCGCGGAUGUGGGGGUGGGGACGCAGAAACAGGUCCGCAGGGCUGCUGCUUGGGCUUAGAAGACAUUGCAGGGCCUCUCAGAUCACCGCCCGCGGGGUCCAGGGCAGAGCAAACGCAACGGACUGCACCUGUCUCCGCCAAACUCCCCCCGAAUCCCAAUCUGUCUGGAAAGUGAAAGUCCUAAAAAAGAGGAUGGUGAAAGAAAGUCCUCACCAGAAGCCAGUAGCAGUCUAUUGGACUUUGCAGCCUCCACAAAUGUGAGCCAAAUAAACUUUGACUGUUUAUAAAUUAUGCAGUCUGUGGUAUGCUGUGAUAGCAGCAG
rnacentral:lncRNA from 1 species